rnacentral:rRNA from 1 species
GACGAACGCUGGCGGCGUGCUUAACACAUGCAAGUCGAACGGAAAGGCCCUGCUUUUGUGGGGUGCUCGAGUGGCGAACGGGUGAGUAACACGUGAGUAACCUGCCCUUGACUUUGGGAUAACUUCAGGAAACUGGGGCUAAUACCGGAUAGGAGCUCCUGCUGCAUGGUGGGGGUUGGAAAGUUUCGGCGGUUGGGGAUGGACUCGCGGCUUAUCAGCUUGUUGGUGGGGUAGUGGCUUACCAAGGGUUUGACGGGUAGCCGGCCUGAGAGGGUGACCGGCCACAUUGGGACUGAGAGACGGCCCAGACUCCUACGGUAGGCAGCAGGGGGGAAUAUUGCACAAUGGGCGGAAGCCUGAGGCAGCAACGCCGCGUGCGGGAUGACGGCCUUCGGGUUGUAAACCGCUUUCGCCUGUGACGAAGCGUGAGUGACGGUAAUGGGUAAAGAAGCACCGGCUAACUACGUG